AACGAACGCUGGCGGCAGGCCUAACACAUGCAAGUCGAGCGCCCCGCAAGGGGAGCGGCGGACGGGUGAGUAACGCGUGGGAACGUGCCCUUUGCUACGGAGUAGCCCCGGGAAACUGGGAGUAAUACCGUAUAAGCCCUACGGGGGAAAGAUUUAUCGGCAAAGGAUCGGCCCGCGUUGGAUUAGGUAGUUGGUGGGGUAAUGGCCUACCAAGCCGACGAUCCAUAGCUGGUUUGAGAGGAUGAUCAGCCACACUGGGACUGAGACACGGCCCAGACUCCUACGGGAGGCAGCAGUGGGGAAUCUUAGACAAUGGGCGCAAGCCUGAUCUAGCCAUGCCGCGUGAGCGAUGAAGGCCUUAGGGUUGUAAAGCUCUUUCGUGGGGGAAGAUAAUGACUGUACCCCAAGAAGAAGCCCCGGCCAACUCCGUGCCAGCCGCCGCAGUAACAC
rnacentral:rRNA from 1 species